UUGCAGCCGCCACCCUCUUGCCCACCCCUUUGGCCGCCGCCCCUCCCCCCUCUCCCUCUCCUCCUCCCCCCAAGUUCUUGCAGCCGCCCCCAAGUUCUUGCAGCCACCCCCCAUCACACAACCCUAGCCGCCCCCACCUCAUCUCCUCCUCUCCAAGUUGCAGCCCCUCCCUGCUUGGAUCUCCUUCGUGUUGGUGCAAGCCUUCAAUUGAAGUUUUGGUGGGAGGAAGAAGGAAGAAAGGAAGUAAGAACUCAAGGUGGUGGACUUCCAGAUCGUACUUAGGGCUUUUUCCAAAUUCUCGGUGAAGGCAAGUAAAAUAGUGAUGGUUUAUACCGUUCGUCGAUUUAUGUGUCCUGUUCUUGAUUCAUAUCCCUGUCAAAUGUGUUCAUCCUCGUAUUCCAUUUUGAGAAUUGAUGUUUGAAGUUAAACAUGUUCUACUAUUUACAUAUGUUGAGGGCAUUGUUCGAGCAUGUUAUAUGUGUGGAUUCUUAUUUUGAGGAAGUGGAAGUAUAUAUUUAACACAUGUUAGAAGGGAGUGGUCUCAUGUUGGGGUCAUGCAUAGUGCAUCCAUCAUUCUUUGUAUGGAAGUUUCGUCGCGAUCAUAUGGUCCGACUGUACCAGUACAAUAUGCAUCAUACGUUGCCCGAGGAGGGCUAUGAUGCAGCUUCAUAUCCUUAGAGGUAUGAAGGCAUAAGUCAUUACUGCAUUUGUAGCCAUGUGCACUCAUGGGUAAAACGUGGAACCUUUCAUGGUUACAUGGAUAUUGUGGAUCUGCUCUUUGUGAUUUUUGGAACUGGGUAUUUGGUACCUUGUAUACUUGCUGCAUUUUAAUAUUUAUGAAGGGAGUUGUGAACUUUGUGGUUGUUAAAACACGGUUUGUUUACGUUGUCCAAUUGUUGCUUGAUCAUUUUACUUGCUGAAAUGUGUCAUCUCACUCUUGCAUUGUUUGAUGCAGGCACUUGAACUUUGCUUGGGGAAAGGAGGGAAGUAGCAGCACGAUCACUACACCCCUAAAUAAUUAUACCACUGCUUAGUAAUACUUUUAAACACGGGUUUCAGGUCAAGGAGGUUGAUUAUUAUGAAAUAGUGUGUGCCAGUGGUCUAUUAUGUUCUAGUCUUUAUGGUGGUCACAUUUUUGGUUAGCUGAAUUAAUUUUUUCCUGAAUGUUUAUUUCUUCUUUUGCAUCUUGAUUAUACACUGUGUAUUACCUUUUUUGCAACAUGUAUAAACUCUGUAUUUCCCUCGUUAUGCAACUUUCAAGGGAGGUGCUGCCGAAAUUUUAUUUCUGUCUCCAUUUUUUAUGCUUUCUAAUUUGUGGGAAGGGUUUUUGGUAACACCCAUUGUGUGGGAUCAAUGGGGUGUUACAGGUAAUGGAUGCACUGAACUUCGAGUAUCCAGACUAUGAAAGACUUGACGAGGGGGUCGGGGGAGCAAAAAGAAAAAGCGUUGUCAGCGGACGAAGAGGCUCUGAAGAAAGCAACGCCUGAGCCGAAGGCACUAGCUCCUAAGAAAAGGAAACUUGAAGAGAUACCUUCUGCCGAACCAAAGGUAGAUGAAGCGCCGGAGAAAACCUUGAGCCCUUCGUUGCCUUCUACUGUCGAGGUGUCAGAAAUUUUGAAGAAGAAGAAAAUGCCUUCGGUCACGGAGGAGAAGGUUGGAGGGAAGAGGAAGCAGCGGAUUAUGAAUGUAAUACAAGCGAUUGAGCAAACGCCGCCUUCAGCUUCGUUGGUGAAAGCAGCGAUUCCUGUCAACGCUGAAAGUGCUGGCGGAGCCGAAGCUAAAGAAUUCGUAGCCACAAUGUCAGAAAUUGAUAAACUUAUAUCAGAUGUGGUUGAAGAGAAGCCAGAUGUGGUUGUAGAGAAAAGCAUGGCCGCAGUGCCUGAUAAAGGGAAGAAAAUUUAUGAUGCCCCUUCGGAAGAGAAGGAUUUUGACCUUCGGCACCUAGGUGGCCAGGAACUUUCUGAGGAAGAUAAGUUAGAGUUAAAAGAAUUUGCUAUGUCUUGUGGUUACCAACUGGGUUCCAUACUCUUUGGUGGGGUCGAUGAAAAAAUCUUGGGAUGCAUUCACGACCGCGCCGGGGCAAAGAUUGUAGGCACCUUAUCCAAAAGUGUUGGAUUCCUGAAGUUGGAGACUGACAUUAGCUGCUACAGGCGGCAACAUAUUAUCGGUAGUUUGUUUUAUUCCAAUUUCAAGGUGAGGUUUUUCUCUAAACUUUUAAAUAUUACCUUCGUAGCGGUUUGAGUAUUCUAAUUUUAACUUGUUUUGUAGAGUAUGUUAUUAAUCAAAGCCUUGAAAAUGCAGCAGGAUGCCGAAGAUAGAAAAAAUGAAGUUAUUAUUGAAGGCUUAGAAUAUAAAAUUAAGAAACUUGAAGAUUCUUUAAAAGAAAAAGAUAGUCUGCUGCAUUCAGCCGAAGGCUCCCUCGUAGAAGUGAGGUCUUAGAAUGAUAAGAUGAGCCGAGAGCUAGACAAAGCUCGAGCAACCUUGAACGAGAGAUCAGAGCGCUUCAACCAUGAAAUGAAGGAACUGAAAACAAAGGUCGAAGCCGAAGCUGAAAAGAAUGCGAAGCUAAGCGAAACUGUUAAGAACCUUUGGGAUACAUGCUCCAGCUUUGACACUCGAUGUAUUAAUCGAUUGAAGGGGAUAUUUAACUCAGUCGGAGCCACUUCUAAAGAAAUCACCCCUUCUUCCGAAGAUAUCCCCAGGGCCUUCGAUCAUAUCGAGAAUGAAGUUGAGGCCCUUGAUGAAGUUAUAACUGGGCAUGGAGAUUUAUGUGCUCUAGUGGCUUCACACGGCACAGCUGUAGCAUUCAUGAAGGCCGGGUGCAAUCACGCGAGAGCUGUCAACAAGCCGAACUUUAAUCUUUCAUCAUCGGAUUUGGUUGACGUUCCAACUGAGGCCCAAAGUAUAGGAAAUAGAUUUAUUACCCAAAUUUGGGCAAAGGGCGGGCGCGAAUUGGACGGGGAUGAAGCACGAAAGCUGCUUAACUCAAAUGAUGGUGCCGAAGGUCGCUAAGCCAAAGCUUGUUCCGAAAUACUAAAAGCUCUAGAAUCUCCUUUUGUAUUUACCUAUAGAAAGACUUAGGAACUCAUUGUAUCAUAUGGCAAAAAAUUGUAAUUGUCAGUUGGACAAAUUAUUGUAAAUAUUUGUUAAUACCUUGUAAUACCAUUUUACCUUUCG